GGGCACCUAGAGGCAGCAGCAGUGGGGGAUAUUGCACAAUGGGGGGAACCCUGAUGCAGCGACGCCGCGUGGGUGAAGAAGCGCCUCGGCGCGUAAAGCCCUGUCAGCAGGGAAGAAAAUGACGGUACCUGAAGAAGAAGCCCCGGCUAACUACGUGCCAGCAGCCGCGGUAAUACGUAGGGGGCAAGCGUUAUCCGGAUUUACUGGGUGUAAAGGGGGCGCAGACGGCGAUGCAAGCCAGGAGUGAAAGCCCGGGGCCCAACCCCGGGACUGCUCUUGGAACUGCGUGGCUGGAGUGCAGGGGG
rnacentral:rRNA from 1 species